rnacentral:rRNA from 1 species
CCUGGGAACUGCGUUNUGAACUGGGUGACUAGAGUGUNUCAGAGGGAGGUAGAAUUCCACGUGUAGCGGUAAAAUGCGUAGAGAUGUGGAGGAAUACCGAUGGCGAAGGCAGCNUCCUGGGAUAACACUGACGUUCAUGCCCGAAAGCGUGGGUAGCAAACAGGAUUAGAUACCCUGGUAGUCCACGCCCUAAACGAUGUCGAUUAGCUGUUGGGCAGCAUGACUGCUUAGUAGCGAAGCUAACGCGUGAAAUCGACCGCCUGGGGAGUACGGUCGCAAGAUUAAAACUCAAAGGAAUUGACGGGGACCCGCACAAGCGGUGAUGAUGUGGAUUAAUUCGAUGCAACGCGAAGAACCUUACCUGGUCUUGACAUGUACGGAACCCUCCAGAGACGGAGGGGUGCCUUCGGGAGCCGUAACACAGGUGCUGCAUGGCUGUCGUCAGCUCGUGUCGUGAGAUGUUGGGUUAAGUCCCGCAACGAGCGCAACCCUUGUCAUUAGUUGCCAUCAUUAAGUUGGGCACUCUAAUGAGACUGCCGGUGACAAGCCGGAGGAAGGUGGGGAUGACGUCAAGUCCUCAUGGCCCUUAUGACCAGGGCUUCACACGUCAUACAAUGGUCGGUACAGAGGGUAGCCAAGCCGCGAGGUGGAGCCAAUCUCACAAAACCGAUCGUAGUCCGGAUUGCACUCUGCAACUCGAGUGCAUGAAGUCGGAAUCGCUAGUAAUCGCAGGUCAGCAUACUGCGGUGAAUACGUUCCCGGGUCUUGUACACA